rnacentral:rRNA from 1 species
UACGUAGGGGGCAAGCGUUGUCCGGAAUCAUUGGGCGUAAAGCGCGUGUAGGCGGCCAGAAAAGUCCGCUGUGAAAACUCGAGGCUCAACUUCGAGCUGUCGGUGGAAACUUUCUGGCUAGAGUCCGGAAGAGGAGAAUGGAAUUCCUGGUGUAGCGGUGAAAUGCGCAGAUAUCAGGAAGAACACCCGUGGCGAAGGCGGUUCUCUGGGACGGUACUGACGCUGAGACGCGAAAGUGUGGGGAUCAAACAGG